UACGAAGGGGGCUAGCGUUGCUCGGAAUCACUGGGCGUAAAGCGCACGUAGGCGGCUUUUUAAGUCAGGGGUGAAAUCCUGGAGCUCAACUCCAGAACUGCCUUUGAUACUGAGAAGCUUGAGUCCGGGAGAGGUGAGUGGAACUGCGAGUGUAGAGGUGAAAUUCGUAGAUAUUCGGAAGAACACCAGUGGCGAAGGCGGCUCACUGGACCGUUGUUGACGCCGAGGUGCGAAAGCGUGGGGAGCAAACAGG
rnacentral:rRNA from 1 species